rnacentral:rRNA from 1 species
UACAGAGGGUGCGAGCGUUAAUCGGAAUUACUGGGCGUAAAGCGCGCGUAGGCGGCUUUGCAAGUCGGGUGUGAAAUCCCCAGGCUUAACCUGGGAACUGCAUUCGAGACUGCAUUGCUAGAGUAUGGGAGAGGGAAGUGGAAUUUCCGGUGUAGUGGUGAAAUGCGUAGAUAUCGGAAGGAACAUCAGUGGCGAAAGCGACUUCCUGGACCAAUACUGACGCUCAUGUGCGAAAGCGUGGGGAGCAAACAGG